rnacentral:tRNA from 1 species
UAGCUCAGUCGGUAGAGCGUUGGACUUUUAAUCCAACGGUCGUGGGUUCGAGCCCCAC